rnacentral:rRNA from 1 species
GAGUUUGAUCGUGGCUCAGAGCGAACGCUGGCGGCAGGCUUAACACAUGCAAGUCGAACGGGCACUUCGGUGCUAGUGGCAGACGGGUGAGUAACACGUGGGAACGUACCUUUCGGUUCGGAAUAAUUCAGGGAAACUUGGACUAAUACCGGAUACGCCCUCCGGGGGAAAGAUUUAUCGCCGAUAGAUCGGCCCGCGUCUGAUUAGCUAGUUGGUGAGGUAAAGGCUCACCAAGGCGACGAUCAGUAGCUGGUCUGAGAGGAUGAUCAGCCACAUUGGGACUGAGACACGGCCCAAACUCCUACGGGAGGCAGCAGUGGGGAAUAUUGGACAAUGGGCGCAAGCCUGAUCCAGCCAUGCCGCGUGAGUGAUGAAGGCCUUAGGGUUGUAAACUGCUUUUGUCAGGGGAUAAAAUAACUGUGCGCAGUUGAUUGAAGGUACCUGAUGAAUAAGCCACGGCUAACUACGUGCCAGCCGCCGCCGU